GAAAGGAGAGAAGUAAUGUGAAUUGCAGAAUUCAGUGAAUCAUCGAAUCUUUGAACGCACAUUGCGCCCGCCAGAAUUCUGGCGGGCAUGCCUGUUCGAGCGUCAUUUCAACCCUCGAGCUCCCCUUGCGGGGGGAGCCCGGCGUUGGGGACGCGGCGCCAACAGCGCCGGCCCCGAAAUGGAGUGGCGGCCCGUCCGCGGCGACCUCUGCGUAGUAACAUCCACUCGCACCGGGACCCGGGCGCGGCCACGCCGUAAAACACCCCACCUUCCGAAUGUUGACCUCGAAUCAGGUAGGAAUACCCGCUGAACUUAAGC
rnacentral:misc_RNA from 1 species